GUUAAUAUGAAUUGCAAAUAUUCGUGCAUCAUCGAAUCUUCUGAACGCACAUAUGCGCACCUCUGGUAUUCCGGAGGGCAUGCCUGUUUGAGCGUCGUU
rnacentral:rRNA from 1 species